CGUAGGUGGCAAGCGUUGUCCGGAUUUAUUGGGUUUAAAGGGUGCGUAGGCGGUUAUAUAAGUCAGUGCUGAAAUAUCCCGGCUUAACCGGGAGGGUGGCAUUGAUACUGUAUGACUUGAGUAAAGUUGAGGUUGGCGGAAUUGACGGUGUAGCGGUGAAAUGCUUAGAUAUCGUCAAGAACACCGAUUGCGAAGGCAGCUAACUAAGCUUUAACUGACGCUGAGGCACGAAAGUGUGGGGAUCAAACAGGAUUAGAUACCCUGGUAGUCCACACUGUAAACGUUGAUUACUCGCUGUUGGCGAUACACAGCCAGCGGCUAAGCGCAAGCGAUAAGUAAUCCACCUGGGGAGUACGCCGGCAACGGUG
rnacentral:rRNA from 1 species